rnacentral:lncRNA from 1 species
CUCCGUUCACCACCACUCUCUGGGCCCGGCCCUCCAGCCACUUCCUUACCCAGCCAAGAAUGUGUCUGUCCAAGCCACGAUCUGCCAGCUUCUGGAGGAGAAUACUGUGGGAGACAGUGUCAAAGGCUUUGCUGAAGUCUAGGUAGACUACGUCAACAGCCUUUCCCUCAUCCACCAGACGGGUCACUGGAUCAUAGAAGGAGAUCAGGUUGGUCAAGCAGGACCUGCCCUUCGUGAACCCCUGCUGGCUAGGCCUGAUCCCCCGGUUGUCCUGCACGUGCCGCGUGAUCUCCCUCAAGACAAUCUGCUCCAUAAUCUUCCCUGGCACCGAGGUCAGGCUAACAGGCCUGUAGUUCCCCGGAUCCUCCCUGCAGCCCUUCUUGUAGAUGGGAGUCACAAUGGCAAGCCUCCAGUCUUCUGGGACCUCACCCGUCAACAAGGAGCGCUGAUAGGUGAUGGAAAGCGGCUCGACUAUCACCUCUACCAGUUCCCUCAGCACUCUCGGGUG